AAUGCGCUAGGUUUUGAGUUCAGAUUAACGCUUAAGCAAAAUAUUUUCCGGUUUCUGUUAAUCACCGUCAUAAACCAUAAAACACCCCCGCCACAUAUGCAAUCACAACCAAAUUGAUCGACAGCAAUAUAGAAAUCAUAAUGUCUGACAACAUCCCUCUUGAAAUACAAAUGGAAAUCAUCGGAGAAUCCGGUGUCGAAGGCAUGGAAGUCGCUGAUCGACAGCAAGGAGUUUGUUACGGGUCAUAACCGCCGCCACAUCCAGCAGCAGCCCCGUCAUCUGGGUAUAGAUGCCGGUGAUCCACAGAAGGAGAACUAGCCGGUAGCUCUCAUGGGUUGUUUUGCUUGUAUGAUUGGGAAAGAAAGAUGGUUGUUAUUUGGAAUCCUUCGAUAAGGAAAACCGUCCUUACCACGAUCGUGCCUUAUGAGAAGUGUUCUCUUUUUGGGGUUUGUCCUAACACUCUUGACCCUGAUAAGAUUGUCAAGAUUCCAUAUUACAGUAUAUAAGAAAUGAAAGCCACCAAGUUGAGGUAUUCACAUUGAGUUCAGGGGCUUGGCGAGGAACACUAAGCAACACUUCUCCUCGUAAAUCAAUUGGAUUGGGAAACUCUCGGGCCGUUGUUGACGGAAUUCUUUAUUGCAAUGCCUAUGAUAAUAUUAGUAUUGAGGGUCGUAUGUCUCACAGUCUCAUGUCAUUUGAUCUGACGAAUGAAGAAUUCACAGAACUAUACCUCCCUUGUGGUCGUGGUUUGUAUGUACCUAAUCUAAGGGAGUCUCUUGGUGUUUUUCAAUUUCGUUGUGACACACACCCAGAAGAUGUUAUUGUAUGGAUAAUGAGAGGGCGUGGCUGUACAAGAUCAUUUGAAAAGCUGUACCACAUUAGCCCAUCUGAGUACAUAUGACAUUGGGGUUCCGAACGAGUGGUGCACCCAUAGUUGAAUUGCAGAAUGACCAAAGAGAUUACCUGUUGCACUUGCUGCUUAUGAACCCGAAUCAAAGGACAUCACUGAAAUUUGGAGCGUUGGAGUUAGAGAUACAUUCUUUGUGCAUUCCUAUACGGAAACACUACUUUUGCUUUGCCAUUAAUUGAGGGCAAGUAAUUGCAGAGUGUGGAUAGAAGAUUUCAAUAGUACUUUUAUGACGUCUAAAUACACACAAGACUAGGAUAUUAACACAACACUUUUAUCAUGAGGAAGCCUUGACCGCUUAAGGGCCAUUCCUGAUUUUGUCAAUCUUGAAGGUUAUUUAAGUAUUAGUUUUAUAGUUAAACAUUUCUAUAUAGUUUAACAUUUCUGCUAAGAAAAAGCUUGAUGUAUUUUAGAGAUUUAGCAAGUGAUAAUUAAAUCUUAAUGGUGCAUGAAGGAUCAUCAAUUUUGCAA